GACGAACGCUGGCGGCGUGCUUAACACAUGCAAGUCGAGCGGUAAGGCUCCUUCGGGAGUACACGAGCGGCGAACGGGUGAGUAACACGUGAGCAAUCUGCCCUUCACUUCGGGAUAACUCCGGGAAACCGGAGCUAAUACCGAAUACGACCACUUCAGGCAUCUGAUGGUGGUGGAAAGUUCCGGCGGUGAAGGAUGAGCUCGCGGCCUAUCAGCUUGUUGGUGGGGUAACGGCCCACCAAGGCAACGACGGGUAGCCGGCCUGAGAGGGUGACCGGCCACACUGGGACUGAGACACGGCCCAGACUGCUACGGGGGGCAGCAGUGGGGAAUAUUGGGCAAUGGGCGCAAGCCUGAUCCAGCCAUGCCGCGUGGGUGAUGAAGGCCCUAGGGUUGUAAAGCCCUUUCGGCGGGGAAGAUAAUGACGGUACCCGCAGAAGAAGCCCCGGCUAACUUCGUGCCAGCCGCCGCCGUAACAC
rnacentral:rRNA from 1 species